UACAGAGGGUGCGAGCGUUAAUCGGAAUUACUGGGCGUAACGGGCGCGUAGGCGGCCCGCUAAGUCGAACGUGAAAUCCCCAGGCUCAACCUGGGAACUGCGUCCGAUACUGGCAGGCUUGAAUCCGGGAGAGGGAUGUGGAAUUCCAGGUGUAGCGGUGAAAUGCGUAGAUAUCUGGAGGAACACCGGUGGCGAAGGCGGCAUCCUGGACCGGUAUUGACGCUGAGGCGCGAAAGCUAGGGUAGCAAACGGG
rnacentral:rRNA from 1 species